ACCCGGAUAAACUCACUUCCGGCGUGCUAUCAGAGGGUCGACAUGCUUGUGUCAACUCUCCUUCUCUAAAUGUGUUUUUAAUGAAGUAUUUGCGGAGAUUUGCUGUUGUUUUCACUAAAUAUCCAGUGGCGCGCUUUUCUCACGCGGCAGUUUGUGGAGUGGCGCCUGAAAGUGCCAUGUGUAAGCCGCUGAAGACCAAAGUGCUCACUUUGUCACCGGCGGCCGGCGACGAGCCCUCGUUUUUGACGCGGGAAGCUCGUGCAGGAGUUUAAGGAUCUGUGGCCCAGACUCGCAGUGGUCGUGGACGGAGGGCCAAUCGGAGACCAGAGUCGUCUCGGGUCGACCGGGGUGGACCUUUCUGUACACAGCAGGUACCGCAUCAUCCGAGCCGGGUGUGCCUUUUCUUCCACCGUGGACGUGCUGGAAGGUAAAUAUGGACUCUCCUCUCUGGAUUUGGGAUAAAACCACAUCACAAAAGUCCACACACUGACUGGAACACAACAAGCUUUUUUUUUUUUAUGAACUUUUGUCUCAACCUCAAGACCAUUAUUUUUCCUCAGGAACAUUUGAAACCCUGGACUUUGGAAACACUCUACGGUUAUAAAGUAGACCGCUCGCAAUAUUUUUAUAAUGGGAAUGGAUUUUAUUUUUGUGGCUUUAUUGUUGAAUUAUGUUGGUCCUUUAUAAUAGAUUUAUGUGGAAGUUUUCCAUCUUGUUUCAAAAAGUAUCUUAUCUAUACCCUUUUUUGCAUUUCUAUUUAUUAUUAUUAUUCUUUUAGAAAAGAAUGCCUUCAUGCAUGUUAAAAACUGUUACUUGUGUCAAUUUAAGUUAAAUCUUGUACAAUAAAGACCUCAAAUUUCUCCUUAACAACAAAAAGCAAUUUAAUAAGUGUGUUUCUCUCCUUUAUGUUUAUUUCUAGUGUCAAAUGUUUGAAGUCAUAUCGGCAAUUCAACCACAGCCCAUUAGAGACUCGAUACUUUUAUUGUGGGGAAAAAAAAUGCCAGGAAGAAGCAUUAAGCAAUCAGCAGGAAACAAAACGUGCAAACCAAUAUUCCCGCAGUAACAUUUUUGUAUUCAUUAAUCAAGUUUGCUGUUAAGUGUAUUUGCUGUCUUAGCGUCAUUGUGUAAGUCCACUUGCCCUGGAGCUUGUAAGAACCUA